GACAGAGGGGGCAAGCGUUGCUCGGAUUUACUGGGCGUAAAGGGCGCGUAGGCGGACAUUUAAGUCGGGGGUGAAAGCCCGGGGCUCAACCUCGGAAUUGCCUUCGAUACUGGAUGUCUUGAGUGUGAGAGAGGUGUGUGGAACUCCGAGUGUAGAGGUGAAAUUCGUAGAUAUUCGGAAGAACACCAGUGGCGAAGGCGACACACUGGCUCACUACUGACGCUGAGGCGCGAAAGCGUGGGGAGCAAACAGG
rnacentral:rRNA from 1 species